UCCCGUGGGCCUCCGCGAGAGGGUAUUUAAGUGCCUCCCUGCGGCUUGUAGGUCUCGUUUCUUCUUUGCUGCUCUGGGGCGCAGGCGCGCGUCUGGACGCUCGGGGGCCCGGGACAUGCCUGCCGUUAGGGUAUGGCUCCGUCCCAGGGAGCGUACAGGUUGGAGGAUGGGACAGGAUCUGUUCUCGUGCGGACCGGUCCAUGCAGCAAUGCUCCGCUCAUCCGUCCUGAGGGACUCCACCGCCUCCCGGGGUGACUACAGGUAAUUGUUGAAAUGCGGGAUUGAGGUGUUCUCUCUCCAGCCCUCCCCACAGCCAGGAGAGCAAAUGGUCCUUCCGGCUUGCUCCUCUUGGAAUGGUGUGCUGGGGCGGGAGAGAACAGCCCAGUAGUACAUCUGGUUCUUGAGGGUGUGGUUUCCCCCCCUCACCCACAUGUCACUGUCAGAUGAUUUGAAUUGUUCCUCUGAUGCUCUGUGAGGUGUGACAGGUAAUAGCAUGUUAGAGUUCUGAUGGCAGUUUCUGUUCAAUAAUGAAAUGCUACUCAGUUCCAAUAUUUCUAGAUAAUAAUCUGCUCUUCAUUUACAGGUUGUCCUGAUAAUGACCUAUUCAUCUGUCUAAACGGUCACCAUUGACCUGCCCAGGGUUGAACUCGUGGAAAGAGUGGAAGUGGUGAGUGUGUGUAAUUUUUAUAACGUGCUCCAUAGUCCAGUGCCAGUGAGGAGAGCAAACAUCCUGUCUUAACCCCAGUACCAGCCCCAGAGCCAGCAAUGGUGAACCCACUGGGGCUAACUGGGAGAGAGGAUGAGAACUUGUUCCGUAGGAACUGUCUGAGGUACAAGCAGACAGCAUUUGCUUAGUUAUUCCUGAUCUGCCCACUAACCAUAACUAGAACCACUUUGGCUGUUUCAGGGGAUCUCCUUUAGGAGCAGCUGGGUCCUGUGUGCUACGGGAACCUCCAGAGCUAACAGGUUAGUUCAUUGUCAGGCUCAUGUCACCAAGUAGUCAGUUUCUGUGAUGAAGCAAACUAGCUCACUAUGACUCAGAAUGAACACAUGUGAACACCUGAGAAACUGGGGAACGUGGUGGCGGCGGCGGGAUACCCAGCUGGAAUUUUUAUCGACCACAGCCUUGUCUUCCAGGUCCUGUUAGUCCUACCUGCUUGGUGGUCCACUCCAAGGUGAGUGAUUUCCACGUGUGUUGGCGCAUGCACAUGCCAGGUAGAAAGUGGCCUUCAGGCCUACAUAUAUGAUGACUGACAUGGAAUCUCGUUCGGCUGAUGACUUGCUGUUGAGACUCGGAAAUCUGAUUUUCUAGGAACUGGCUGAGGCGGGACCAGCUUUUAGUGCAGGAAGUGCAUGCUGACUGUCUUGUUUCUUUCAGGUCCAGCACCUUUGUGGGACCCAAGAAUGAGGUGAGGGGAAGUGGAGGCUGUUUCUGCUCAACUUCAGCCCGAAGUUAGAGGUGAGUAAUGCAGAGGGGAUGUGCAGGCUGGCCGCCAUUUCCCAGUGAGGAAACAUUCACACGUCUUACCCCCUGUCCCUGUCCCAGAGCCUGUGAAGGUGAACCCACUGGGACAAGCUGGGGGAGAAGAGAAAAGUGUGUUCCAGAAGGAACUGUCUGAGGGAUCACAAGGAUUUCUAACCGUGGGAAAGAGGGAAGUAAAUUACUUGUUGAGAAAAUUAUGGUUUGGUUUUGUUUUUUUCAGGUCUAAAGAAAGAACGAAGCAUGUACAAUGGCAAGUAUCUGCCCACUUUCUAGUGUGUAACCAAAGUUACUGACAUACAGAAGCCUAGAGGUGUGAUUGGGUUGGCCCUUCAUAAGCUCACAGUGCAUAUUUCCCAUCCAAUAAAAUAACUCACCUUUUUUUCCCUACAGGAAACCAACUCUGAAGACAAAAGAAUUUUCAAGCAAUUGCCUGUAAACCUGGCUGUUUAAAUUUUCAAAUUUCCGUCUUUAAAAAUAAAAGUUCUUUUUUUUAUCCUUCA